rnacentral:rRNA from 1 species
UACGUAGGUGGCUAGCGUUGUCCGGAUUUACUGGGCGUAAAGAGCGCGCAGGCGGUCGUUCAAGUCGAGUGUGAAAGCCCCCCGGCUCAACUGGGGAGGGUCACUCGAUACUGAUCGACUUGAAGGCGGGAGAGGGAAGUGGAAUUCCUGGUGUAGAGGUGAGAUUCGUAGAUAUCAGGAGGAACACCAGUGGCGAAGGCGGCUUCCUGGACGACCAACCUGACGCUGAGACGCGAAAGCGUGGGGAGCAAACAGG